rnacentral:rRNA from 1 species
GACGAACGCUGGCGGCGGGCUUAACACAUGCAAGUCGAACGGAAAGGCCCUGCUUUUGUGGGGUGCUCGAGGGGCGAACGUGUGAGUAACAUGUGAGUAACCUGCCCUUGACUUGGGGAUAACUUCAGGAAACUGGGGCUAAUACCGGAUAGGAGCUCCUGCUGCAUGGGGGGGGUUGGAAAGUUUGGGCGGUAGGGGCUGGACUGGGGGCUUAUCAGCUUGUGGGGGGGGGAGUGGCUUAGCAGGGGUUUGGCGGGUAGCCGGCCUGGGAGGGUGGACGGCCACCUUGGGCCUGCGCUACGGCGCAGACGCCAACGGGAGGCAACAGUGGAGAAUAUGACACAGUGAGCGGGCGCCUGAUGCAGCGACGCCGCGUGCGGGAUGACGGCUUUCGGGUUGUAAACCGCUUUCGCCUGUGACGAAGCGUGAGUGACGUUAAUGGGUAAAGAAGCACCGGCUAACUACGUG